rnacentral:ncRNA from 1 species
CCGGCCCGGACACGGACAGGAUUGACAGAUUGAUAGCUCUUUCUUGAUUCCAUGGGUGGUGGUGCAUGGCCGUUCUUAGUUGGUGGAGCGAUUUGUCUGGUUAAUUCCGAUAACGAACGAGACUCUGGCAUGCUAACUAGUUACGCGAACCCCGAGCGGUCGGCGUCCCCCAACUUCUUAACCUUUGAUUCUUGAUGGCACUUUGGUCACCCAUCAUAUGGAGCUGCAGCUGUGCUGCAUUCAGUUAUUAAAGCUAAAAAUUACCAAUGGAAUUUACAGCUGGAUUAAGCUCCUGGGGAGCUGG